rnacentral:rRNA from 1 species
UACGUAGGGGGCAAGCGUUGUCCGGAUUCAUUGGGCGUAAAGAGCGUGUAGGCGGCCAGGUAGGUCAGCUGUGAAAACUGGAGGCUCAACCUUCAGACGUCGGCUGAAACCAUCUGGCUAGAGUCCGGGAGAGGAGAGUGGAAUUCCUGGUGUAGCGGUGAAAUGCGCAGAUAUCAGGAAGAACACCCGUGGCGAAAGCGGCUCUCUGGAACGGUACUGACGCUGAGACGCGAAAGCGUGGGGAGCGAACAGGAUUAGAUACCCUCGUAGUCC